UGUGGCAGAACAGUGCAAUAAAUUUAAGAUUUAUAUAAAAAGGAAUCUUUCUUUAGA
rnacentral:tRNA from 1 species